GCCCCUGCUCCUCUUCCUAUCUGUGGAUGCUACAGACUCAGACUCAGGAGAGCACGGGAGGGAGUCAUCAUCUUCACUCUGCUACUUCAGUUUCCCAAGGUGUUUCUGAUGUGGGCUUAAGACACCACCUUUCCCUUCACCCCCAUACAGAUCUGGAAGCUUAAGGAUCUACCCUGAUUCUCAAACUUUGCAGCCUAUUAGAAGCAGCCCUCUAAAGCUGUGCUUCUGAAAUCUGACUGUUCAGGCGAAUCACCCAGGGGCCUUGUGGGUGUGGAUUCUGACUGCAUGUUGUGGGCUGGCCUGAGAGUCUGCCUUUCUCACAGGUACCCAGGUGAUGCCCUGCUGGGUGUAGCAAGGGUGGAGGGGGAAUGACUGAAACACAGAACAGCGGGGCUCAGCCUCGGUUGUGUUGAAACGGCCUCUGGAGUGUCAUAAGAUGUUGAUAUCUUGCCCACAUUCCCAGAAAUUCUGACUUAAUUGGUCUGGGUGUGGCCAGGGACAGGAUUUCUAAGUGUUCCCUUGGUGAUUCCUACUUGCAGCCGAGGCUGAGGGCCCCUGCUCUGAACGAUGAGUCCUGGCUCUUUGGAAAGGUCCCCACCCAGGCAGCCAGCUCUCACCACAUCUGCGAAGACUGUGCUAGACCCCCAGUAAGUGAGCUCUUUUAACCCCUUCAGCGCACGUGGAGCCAGAGGACUGCUGGAGAGCAGUGAGUGGUGACAGCCACAGCCUGUGCUCCCAGCAAAGCAGGACACAGGGAGGAGGCACGGAAGGGGUGACCACAGCUGUGUGGUUGGUCACAGGGCUGAGCCUCCCUCAGCCUCGCCUUCCUCACCUGUGAAUAGAGUCUUCAGGCCACCUUUGUGGGAUUGUCCACCAAGUACCUGACUCAGGCUACAGACCCCAUAAAUGGGAGCUAUUAUCCAUAAACAGGGCAUCCGUAGACCUGAGCAGCCAGUUGUGGAGAAGUUGAGAGCAGCUGAUGUCUGGGAUUCACGUUCGCCAGUGUGAAAAACCUGCAUGGGAAGCGAUCCCUUCUGGUCAAUGCGAGACCCUGCCGUUUUCUGUGAGGGUUCACUGUUAUCAUUACCUACUGCUGCCCUGCCGUGAAGUCAGGGCCAGAAUGGCUUCAUUUUAAAGACUCGGACAGUGAAAACCAAAGUAUUUUAGAACGUAAUGUCUUCCUCAGAAAGUUUCUGUGUUUUGAGGUGAGAGAAUGUCACUUUAAAAAAAUAAAAGCAGGCCGAGCAUGAUGGCUUAUGCCUGUAAUCCCAGCACUUUGGGAGGCUGAGGCGGACGGAUCAUGAGGUAAAGAGUUCGAGACCAGACUGGCCAAUAUGGUGAAACCCCAUCUCUACUAAAAAUACAAAAAUUAGCUGAGCCUGGUGGCGCGUGCCUGUAAUCCCAGCUACUCGAGAGGCUGAGACAGGAGAAUCACUUGAACCUGGGAGGUGGAAGUUGCAGUGAGCCGAGAUCACACCACUGCACUCCAGCCUGGGGCUCAGCAAGACUCUGUCUCAGAAAAUAAAUAAAUAAAUAAGCAAACAAAAAAAAAUGGAGUAUGCUUUAUUAUAUAAUGGAGUAUACUGAAUAAACCCCAUGCCACGUCGACCGGAAACUAGUUAAAGACCGGGGAUUUAUUUGUUCAUAUUAAAAAGGCAACUUUGUAUACAAUUCUUGGGAGGUUUGACUUUCCUCUGCUGCUCAUGAAAUAUGGAAUGUCUGUCUCUUAAGCAAGA
rnacentral:lncRNA from 1 species